UGAUAGGAAGCUAAGUUUUACCCUUGGAGCCAGCCGCCGAAGGUGGGGUCAAUGAUUGGGGUGAAGUCGUAACAAGGUAGCCGUAUCGGAAGGUGCGGCUGGAUCACCUCCUUU
rnacentral:rRNA from 1 species